CUUGCCAUAGGUGGCCGAGCUGUGCUUGGAACCCAGUUUGGGCCAGUAUCGGUGGCUCUUGGUUCUUCCGCCUUCCUGAAUCACACACAAAAGCAAAAUCAGAAAUAAGUCAGGGGAAGGUCUCGUCCACCUAAUCUGAAAAUCUGAGGGCAGAGGAAAUGUGAAUGGCUUCUGGGUUGCCAAGUCAUGCAUUGUGCGGUCCCUAUCACAGAGGAGAUCCCACGCAUCGUGGCUAAGGCCUAACAAGAUUCGCCACGGUAGUGACAGCCAUGAAAUAUUCAGAAGAUUCACAAUUGAGCUGCAGCUGAACGUGAUGGGGUCUAUUUUUAAGAACUGCUAAUAUAGAAACGAGUGUGAUGCCAAAACACAGGCAGCAGAAGGGCAAGAGAAAACUGCAGGACCGGUUAUCAGUAAGGAAGCCAGAACAAGACCCCAUCACUCAUUCCAGGGAACUCGUGGUGAAUUGGUUUAACCCUAAAGGGUACGGGAAAGAGGGACACCCUGACUUUGGCUUCCUGCAGAUUUUCUUCAUCCAGAUAGAAUAGGAAAGCCUCUUUAUCUUCUCUAGAUGAGUAGGAUGAGAUCUAAUCACAAGACAGCCUUAAAAUACUUUGCCCUUGUGCUGUUGUUUCAUGGACAUAAGUGAAAAAUUAUCUCCCUAAUGAAGACAUGUAGACUCUAAAGAAAAAAAAUAAUACAAAGGAGAAGUAUAAAGAGACCAGCGCUAUGAACAAAUCUAUUAAUGCCUCAAGUAAAAAGACCAAAGUGACCCUCUAGAUCUCCAAGGCAAGGGCCACUUGUGAAAUAUUUUGCAUGAUACCGAGAUUAAUAAUAUGCAUGGAGGUACUCAGGAAUGUGAUGACGUAAUGGUGAAACUCAAGAAUUCGAAGAGUUCAUUCUCUAUGUAUUUUCCAGAAAAAAAAAAAAAAUCCUCAAGACUUUCCUUUUAAAAGAUGAGUUGAAGAUAUGCUAUAG